UCAGGAUGAACGCUGGCGGCGUGCUUAAUACAUGCAAGUCGAACGGAGGGAGGUAGUAAUACUUUCCUUAGUGGCGAACGGGUGAGAAACGCGUUGGUGACCUGCCCCGAAGAGCGGGACAACAGACCGAAAGGUUUGCUAAUACCGCAUGAGCUCUUGCUGGCUAGAGUGGCAAGAGGAAAGGCCGAAAGGCGCUUUGGGAGGGGCCUGCGUCCCAUCAGCUAGUUGGCGGGGUAACAGCCCACCAAGGCGAUGACGGGUAGGGGACCUGAGAGGGUGACCCCCCACAAUGGAACUGAAACACGGUCCAUACACCUACGGGUGGCAGCAGUAGGGAAUAUUGGGAAAUGGGCGAAAGCCCGACCCAGCAACGCCGCGUGCGCGAAGAAGGCCUUCGGGUUGUAAAGCGCUUUUCAGAGGGAUGAGGAAGGACAGUACCUUUGGAAUAAGUCUCGGCUAACUACGUGCCAGCAGCCGCGGUAACACGUAGGAGACGAGCGUUAUCCGGAUUUACUGGGUGUAAAGCGCGUNUAGGCGGCUGGGUAAGUUGGAUGUGAAAGCUCCUGGCUUAACUGGGAGAGGUCGUUCAAGACUGCCUGGCUCGAGUGCAGCAGAGGGGAGUGGAAUUCCGAGUG
rnacentral:rRNA from 1 species